CCUACGGGCGGCAGCAGUCGAGAAUCAUUCACAAUGGGGGAAACCCUGAUGGUGCGACGCCGCGUGGGGGAAUGAAGGUCUUCGGAUUGUAAACCCCUGUCAUGUGGGAGCAAAUUAAAAAGAUAGUACCACAAGAGGAAGAGACGGCUAACUCUGUGCCAGCAGCCGCGGUAAUACAGAGGUCUCAAGCGUUGUUCGGAAUCACUGGGCGUAAAGCGUGCGUAGGCUGUUUCGUAAGUCGUGUGUGAAAGGCGCGGGCUCAACCCGCGGACGGCACAUGAUACUGCGAGACUAGAGUAAUGGAGGGGGAACCGGAAUGCUCGGUGUAGCAGUGAAAUGCGGAGAUAUCGAGAGGAACACUCGUGGCGAAGGCGGGUUCCUGGACAUUAACUGACGCGGAGGCACGAAGGCCAGGGGAGCGAAAGGGAUUAGAUACCCGAGUAGUC
rnacentral:rRNA from 1 species